AACGAACGCUGGCGGCAUGCCUAACACAUGCAAGUCGAACGAUGCCUUCGGGCAUAGUGGCGCACGGGUGCGUAACGCGUGGGAAUCUGCCUUUCGGUUCGGAAUAACUCAGGGAAACUUGAGCUAAUACCGGAUAACGUCGCAAGACCAAAGAUUUAUCACCGAAAGAUGAGCCCGCGUAGGAUUAGCUAGUUGGUGAGGUAAAGGCUCACCAAGGCGACGAUCCUUAGCUGGUCUGAGAGGAUGAUCAGCCACACUGGGACUGAGACACGGCCCAGACUCCUACGGGAGGCAGCAGUGGGGAAUAUUGGACAAUGGGCGAAAGCCUGAUCCAGCAAUGCCGCGUGAGUGAUGAAGGCCUUAGGGUUGUAAAGCUCUUUUACCCGGGAAGAUAAUGACGGUACCGGGAGAAUAAGCCCCGGCUAACCCCGUG
rnacentral:rRNA from 1 species